rnacentral:rRNA from 1 species
UACGUAGGGUGCAAGCGUUGUCCGGAAUUAUUGGGCGUAAAGAGCUCGUAGGCGGCUUGUCGCGUCGGCUGUGAAAACCUGGGGCUCAACCCCGGGCCUGCAGCCGAUACGGGCAAGCGUAGAAUUCGGUAGGGGAGACUGGAAUUCCUGGUGUAGCGGUGAAAUGCGUAGAUAUCGUAAGGAAGACCAGUGGCGAAGGCGGGUCUCUGGACAGUUCCUGACGCUGAGGCACGAAGGCCAGGGAGGCGAA